rnacentral:rRNA from 1 species
AUACGGAGGGUGCAAGCGUUACUCGGAAUCACUGGGCGUAAAGGACGCGUAGGCGGGUUGGUAAGUCAGGUGUGAAAUCCUACAGCUUAACUGUAGAACUGCACUUGAAACUACCAACCUAGAGUAUGGGAGGGGGAGAUGGAAUUAGUGGUGUAGGGGUAAAAUCCGUAGAUAUCACUAGGAAUACCGAAAGCGAAGGCGAUCUCCUGGAACAUAACUGACGCUAAGGCGUGAAAGCGUGGGGAGCAAACAGGAUUAGAAACCCCGGUAGUCC